rnacentral:rRNA from 1 species
GAUGAACGCUGGCGGCGUGCUUAACACAUGCAAGUCGAACGAAGCACUUUAUUUGAUUUCCUUCGGGACUGAUUAUUUUGUGACUGAGUGGCGGACGGGUGAGUAACGCGUGGGUAACCUGCCUUGUACAGGGGGAUAACAGUUGGAAACGGCUGCUAAUACCGCAUAAGCGCACGGCAUCGCAUGAUGCAGUGUGAAAAACUCCGGUGGUAUAAGAUGGACCUGCGUUGGAUUAGCUAGUUGGUGAGGUAACGGCCCACCAAGGCGACGAUCCAUAGCCGACCUGAGAGGGUGACCGGCCACAUUGGGACUGAGUCACGGCCCAAACUCCUACGGGAGGCAGCAGUGGGGAAUAUUGCACAAUGGGCGAAAGCCUGAUGCAGCGACGCCGCGUGAGCGAAGAAGUAUUUCGGUAUGUAAAGCUCUAUCAGCAGGGAAGAUAAUGACGGUACCUGACUAAGAAGCACCGGCUAAAUACGUG